rnacentral:rRNA from 1 species
CAGUCGCCACGGGAAUACAGAGGGUGCAAGCGUUAAUCGGAAUUACUGGGCGUAAAGCGCGCGUAGGUGGUUCGCCAAGUUGGAUGUGAAAUCCCCGGGCUCAACCUGGGAACUGCACCCAAAACUGGCGAGCUAGAGUAUGGUAGAGGGUGGUGGAAUUUCCUGUGUAGCGGUGAAAUGCGUAGAUAUAGGAAGGAACAUCAGUGGCGAAGGCGACCACCUGGACUGAUACUGACACUGAGGUGCGAAAGCGUGGGGAGCAAACAGGAUUAGAUACCCGCGUAGUCCCUGUCUCUUAUAC